CACCAUCGAGACUACCUCUAUGCA
rnacentral:siRNA from 1 species